ensembl:lncRNA
UGUAGAUAAAAAUAGCUCAGUCUAAGGUAAUGGUUCAUUAAGAAAGGUCUUUAUACUCCUCUGAAAACAUAGUAUUGUAUAUUAUAUUGCAUUUCUGUAAAUAGAUCGUUGUAAAUAUUACACAUUGCACCUUUCAGUUUUCCUUUUUUCCUGAAGUUCUAAAAUGUAAGAAUUUGAAGUACUGAAAAGAAUGGUAAGAUGUUUAAAUGAAUUUAUAUAUGUUUCAAAUAUUAAACAUUACUGUAAUUAUAUUAAAAAUAAAUAUAAUUAGAUAUAAAAGUGGCUGAAACGACAAUGUUAUGAUCCAAAAAUAUCCUAUAGUCACUGUACAUAAUUUUAAUUAUUUGUGUCAUUAUAGGUGAUGAUUCUACAUCCAGCUUUCAUCCAUGAGAUUUGGUUGCUGAAACGUGGCAAAUAUCCAUUCACUGGCUUCCUUGCUAUUAUAUUUGAGCUGCACGUCUGUGAUCAGGUUUCUACGUGUGGGUUUGGUGCAGAAACUAGUACCACUACUUCGACAAAAAAAAACCUCAAAUAAGGUUCAUACCGGCGCUGAUAGCGGCAGCUUUUCAAGGUAUUGAAAUUUGACGUGCAAUGCUUUUGGAAAUCCUACGAGGUCUGCGUCAUUAUGAAAGCCCUUACCUCACUCUUAUACAUUCUACAAGUGCUGCUGCUAGAAGUCAGUGGGGAGCAGAAACUCUAUGGUUACCAACGUUCUUCAAAAUAACAGAAGAAAGAAAUUCAUACAGGUUUGGCACAACUUCAGGGUGAGAAAAUUAAGAUAGAAUUUUUAUUUUUGGGUGAACUGUCCUUUUAAUUAUACUGUAUCUCGCUGCCUCAAGUGCAAAACUGCUGAUCAAUAUGAUGUACAUAGACGUGAAUUUAAAAGUGCAGAAAAUGAAUAAAAAU